UGUUAGAUUAGUAUUAGUUAAGGUCUUGAAAUUUAAAAAAUUUGGCGGUAUUUUAGUCUAUUCAGAGGAACCUGUAUUUUAAUCGAUAGUCCACGUUGUAUCUUACUUAAUUUUAUUAGUUUAUAUAUCGUUGUUUAUUAGAUAUUUUAAUAGAAAAAUAAUAUUUUUGAUAUAUUAUUUUAUAGUAAGUCAGAUCAAGAUGUAGCUUAUAAUUAAGGAUAAUGAUGGGUUACAUUUUUAUAAUUAAUUGGAUAUUUAUUUAUAAAUAGUUUAUUGAAAUUGGAUUUGAAAGUAAAUUUAUAUAGAUUAAUAAAUUGAUUUUA
rnacentral:rRNA from 1 species